UUCGCCAAGCACUUUCCAAAUGCAAGCCCUGCUCUGGGUAGUAACACGCAUCGGCAAGGCUUGCUAUGAGCCGGGUAUCUCGGCGUUGGCACCAGUAUUUGUGGCCCAUACCUCCUUGCUGUUCACCGUCGGAUGCUCAGCAGCCACCCUAACCUCUCCCUACAAGAUACCACCAGUAACAGCUCCCGCCUGCUUGUGACAACCACACAGGUCUCUACACAUUGCCCAGUGUCUAUUGGACAAAAUCGUCUCGGACUGAGAACACCUGCUCUAGAGGUAAGGAGAAGAAAAUAAAUGAUUAACAAUGAAAUAUUCUCGGACAAUCACGAAGGCUCUGAAAACCUCAACUGGCAAUGGACUUGAGUUCUGAGCCCCCGCGAAACUCACGUCUCUCCCAGGAGGUGUGAGAAAUUAGGAAAUUGAUAGAGAGAACUUCUUCUGGCCUAUUGCUCUGGAGAAGGGGCUCCCAAUACAGAUGGGAGGGAUAACCAUGUUUUCUGGAUGUUAGCAUUCAAGUGCAAGCUCCUUCUUGGCAGAAGCCGGAAAAAAGCAAAUAAGAAAGGCGGACCCGCGGACAGCCACUCCUGCAGCUCCGGCAACAACUUGGCUGGGAAUUUCAGUCCGCUUUGGCAGACACUCCCUGGGGAGGACAUUCUCAUAAAAAAUGAUUGCUUAUCAGAUUAUAGCCUGAUCUCUUAAGGCCAGUGAAAAGGAAGGGCAGGUUUCAAAGGAAAAAAGAGAAGAAGAAAAGAAGCAAAACUCCUUUUUAAGUCUGGAGCUGAAGGAUCUUCGUCCAGGGACCCUGUCUGUCUCUUCAUCCCUCUCCUCCAGCUUGUACAUGCACCCUGUCAAACCAGCUGGUCAUGGGGCGCCCGGGUGGCUCAGUCAGUGAAGCAUCUGCCUUUGGCUCAGGAUCCCAGGAUCCUAGGUUCGAGUCCUGCAUCAGUCUCCCUGCUCAGCGGAGGACCUGUUUCUCCCUCUGCUUCUGCUGCCACUCUCCCUGCUUAUGCUUUCUUUGUCGAAUAAAUAAAUAAAAUCUUAAAAAUAAAACAAGACAACCAGCUGCUCAGUAAACCACUUGAA